UACAGAGGUCUCAAGCGUUGUUCGGAUUCAUUGGGCGUAAAGGGUGCGUAGGCGGCGCGGUAAGUCGGGUGUGAAAUCUCGGGGCUUAACUGGGAGGGUGCGGUGGAAACUGGGGUGCUUGAGUGUGGGAGAGGUAAGCGGAAUUCCUGGUGUAGCGGUGAAAUGCGUAGAUAUCAGGAAGAACACCCGUGGCGAAGGCGGUUCUCUGGGACGGUACUGACGCUGAGACGCGGAAGCGUGGGGAGCGAACAGG
rnacentral:rRNA from 1 species